GCGUUGUCCGGAUUUAUUGGGCGUAAAGAGCUCGUAGGCGGCUUGGUAAGUCGGAUGUGAAACCCCCAGGCUCAACCUGGGAUCGCCAUCUGAUACUGCCAUGGCUAGAGUCCGGUAGGGGCCCACGGAAUUCCUGGUGUAGCGGUGAAAUGCGCAGAUAUCAGGAGGAACACCAGUGGCGAAGGCGGUGGGCUGGGCCGGAACUGACGCUGAGGAGCGAAAGCGU
rnacentral:rRNA from 1 species